rnacentral:lncRNA from 1 species
UAGAUAUCAGUAGCAAUGUUUUGUUAUUGUUGUUUUCGUUUGCUUUUAACUACAGGACCCUCACCAGGUUUUUUGAUGGCAAACAGUGGCUGACACACAGCCUAAUACUGCCAAAGCCAUUGUCACCUCUUCACUUCAGGUUUUGCACGUGUUCCUGCCCACGUGCUGGCCCGGCAAGGGAGAACAGCAGGAAUAACAGAUCUAGGUGAGGUAGGAGUAGAGGACAGAACCAUGUGCUGUAUUAAUUCACUGUCUCCUUCACUUGCAAUUUACUUUGAUAUUUUAGCAUUGGAAUAGAAAACGUCACUUGGACUGCAAAUCAUCUUGUGAACUCUAACAAAUGGUAGAAGGAACCAUAAGAAAGUCUCCCAUAGCUUUACAAGUAAGUUCUUGCAUUUGAUGAAGACAAACCUCCAUGCCACUGAAAUUAACUAGUUAUGUUGUCCAGGAUCAUAUUUUUGGGGGGGAAUUCUUGGCAAAUAAGAAAAACCAAACAGAUGAAAAAGCACUUUAUAAUAGUAUAAUCCUGAAUAUGAUGGCAUUUCCAGACAUUAAAAAAAGCAAAGAACAUACGGAUCUGAUGCAUCAGGAAUAGCAGUUAGAUUUCAUGAGCUGCUACAGGAGAUGGAACUGGGUCCUCUGUCUACCACAGCCCUGCCAUAGUUCUACAGUUUAGUUUUCAGAGCCACCACAUUGCUUUAAUAUCAGAUAACCUGAGACCUCCAAAGAGAGUUCAUGAGCAGAGGGCAAGCAUGUGUUUUGGGACAGCUCUGGUGGACCCAUAUCAUGUCCCAUAGUUAUCCCAAGGUGAGGACAGCUCUGCCCUUGUAGAGAUUUAUGGCUAAGAAGAGUGAGAUGACAUCUCUUUAUGACCUCUGAAUGGUGGCCCAUAUUCUCUGUAGAAUCCAGAAGCCUUGGGAUGUAGAGCUGGCUUCCAAGCCAAUUCAGUUACAGCUAAAUUUCAUUUCUUGCACCUGGUCUGAUGAGAAGGUCACAGCUCCAGAUGGGUUGGAAGAAGGACAUCACUUCCCUGAGCAAUCACUUCCAAACCCCACUAGGUGGCAUCCACGUCCUGGCUCUGACUGAAGGCUCUUCUGCUGCACUGGGAGCUGCAGCCCUUGGAUUUCACUUUUUAAAAGAAAUUAAAAGGUCCAGGAGGCAACUCAGGUUCUUAUUUGAUGCAAGACCUUCUCUGGGUCCCAGAGUCUUUGGGAGCAGAUGAAGAUGUGGAAGAGACCCCAACAUGAUUCUCUCUCCAGUGUCUCUACAGAUAAUCAAGCUUCCAUCUGAAUUUUUAUAUGCACAGCUCAGAUCACACCAUCAAGGAGCCAUUCCAAGGAACCAUACAGGCUUGGUAAAGCAUGAUCUCAUUUACAUAAAUAAGAUGUUUCUUAUAUCAUGAUUUGUGAACUUAUUAUUCCAGUAAAG